rnacentral:rRNA from 1 species
CCCUGCUCCUUGCGCACACCGCCCGUCGCUUCACCGAAGUUGGUUCUUGGCGAGGUGGCGCCUAAUUGGCGCUAUCGAACCUGGGGUCAGCAACGGGGAG